GAAAGUAUAGUGAAGGGCAUUGAAAACGUGGUCCGGUCCUACACUGAAAAGGUAAUAAGAAACCAUUUAAGAUUGAAUUGACAGCAGCUUAUCGCCAGUUUUAAGUUGGGGUUGUUUGGUAAUGCUUUAACUAUGCUCCCUACCUAACCUUCUUUAUAGCCUAACCGCAUCAUUUUGGCAAUUUCCCCUGCAAACCAAGAUCGUGCUGCCUCAGAUGCGAUUAUAAUUUCCCGUGAAGUUGAUCCAUCUGGGGAGAUAACGUUUGGUGUCUUGAAAAAUAUUGAUCUUAUGGACAAGGGGACCGAUGCAGUGGACAGGUUAGGGAAGUCUUCAGUCCUGGAAAGCAUAGUAGGAAAGGACUCUUUACCACGUGGAUCUGGUAACCACACUUUUUGCCUCGUUUUAAAUUUGAAAUCGCUUGUUCCCUUGUGUGUAAUGAAAAAUGAAUUUGGGAGAAACUGUUUGUAGGUAUAGUUACUAGAAGGCCCCUUGUCUUAAAGUUGCAAACGAUUGAUGAUGGAACUCGGGAGUAUGCUGAGUUUCUUCACCUCCCAAGGAAAAGGUUCACCGAUUUUGCUGCCGUGAGGAAGGAGAUUCAAGAUGAGAUUGACAGGGAGACCGGACGCAGCAAGGCCAUUUCUAGUGUUCCCAUUCACCUUAGCAUAUAUUCUCCCGAUGUUGUCAACUUGAGACUGAUUGAUCUUCCAGAGCUUACAAAAGUUUCUGUUGAUGGACAAUCUGAAAGUAUAGUGAAGGGAAUUGAAAACGUGGUCCGGUCCUACAUUGAAAAG